GGCGAACGGGUGAGUAACGCGUAAACAACUCGCCUCAGAGAUUGGGACAACAUUGGGAAACCAGUGCUAAUACCAAAUAAUGCAGCGGGCUCUUCGGAGCACAGCUGUUAAAGUAGGCUUCGGCUUACACUUUGAGAUGGGUUUGCGUCCGAUUAGUUAGUUGGUAGGGUAAAAGCCUACCAAGACCAAGAUCGGUAGCUGGUCUGAGAGGAUGAUCAGCCACACUGGAAUUGAGAUACGGUCCAGACUCCUACGGGAGGCAGCAGUAAGGAAUUUUGCACAAUGGGCGAAAGCCUGAUGCAGCAACGCCGCGUGAACGAUGAAGUUUUUAGGAAUGUAAAGUUCUGUCGUAUGGGAAGAGAUCUUUCGAAUGUUAAUACCAUUCGUUAAUGACGGUACCAUAUAAGAAAGCACCGGCUAACUUCGUGCCAGCAGCCGCGGUAAUACGAGGGGUGCUAGCGUUGUCCGGAUUUACUGGGCGUAAAGGGUACGUAGGCGUUUUAAUAAGUUGUAUGUUAAAUAUCUUAGCUUAACCAAGAAAAUGCAUCCAAAACUGUUAAAAUAGAGUUUGAGAGAGGAACGCACAAUUCAUGGUGGAGCGGUGACAUGCGUAGAUAUCAUGAGGAAAGUCAAAU
rnacentral:rRNA from 1 species